GUAAACGGCGGCCGUAACUAUAACGGUCCUAAGGUAGCGAAAUUCCUUGUCGGGUAAGUUCCGACCUGCACGAAUGGCAUAAUGAUGGCCAGGCUGUCUCCACCCGAGACUCAGUGAAAUUGAAAUCGCCGUGAAGAUGCGGUGUACCCGCGGCUAGACGGAAAGACCCCGUGAACCUUUACUAUAGCUUGACACUGAACAUUGAAUUUUGAUGUGUAGGAUAGGUGGGAGACUUAGAAGAUGAUACGCCAGUAUUGUUGGAGUCGUCCUUGAAAUACCACCCUUUAACGUUUGAUGUUCUAACGAAGAUUACGAAACGUGGUCUCGGACAGUGUCUGGUGGGUAGUUUGACUGGGGCGGUCUCCUCCCAAAGAGUAACGGAGGAGCACGAAGGUUUGCUAAUGACGGUCGGACAUCGUCAGGUUAGUGCAAUGGUAUAAGCAAGCUUAACUGCGAGACAGACAAGUCGAGCAGGUACGAAAGUAGGUCAUAGUGAUCCGGUGGUUCUGAAUGGAAGGGCCAUCGCUCAACGGAUAAAAGGUACUCCGGGGAUAACAGGCUGAUACCGCCCAAGAGUUCAUAUCGACGGCGGUGUUUGGCACCUCGAUGUCGGCUCAUCACAUCCUGGGGCUGAAGUAGGUCCCAAGGGUAUGGCUGUUCGCCAUUUAAAGUGGUACGCGAGCUGGGUUUAGAACGUCGUGAGACAGUUCGGUCCCUAUCUGCCGUGGGCGUUGGAGAAUUGGUUGGGGCUGCUCCUAGUACGAGAGGACCGGAGUGGACGCACCACUGGUGUUCCGGUUGUGUCGCCAGACGCAUUGCCGGGUAGCUAAGUGCGGAAGAGAUAAGUGCUGAAAGCAUCUAAGCACGAAACUUGCCAAGAGAUGAGUUCUCCCUGUCUUUAAGACAGUAAGGGUUGUUUAAGACUAAGACGUAGAUAGGUCUGGUGUGUAAGCGGUGCGAGCCGUUGAGCUAACAGAUACUAAUUGCCCGAGAGGCUUAACUAU
rnacentral:rRNA from 1 species